CUACGGGGCGCUGCAGUGAGGAGUAUUGCACAAUGGGGGGAACCCUGAUGCAGCAACGCCGCGUGGAGGAUGACGCAUUUCGGUGUGUAAACUCCUUUUAUAUGUCAAGAAAAUGACGGUAGCAUAUGAAUAAGCACCGGCUAACUCCGUGCCAGCAGCCGCGGUAAUACGGAGGGUGCAAGCGUUACUCGGAAUCACUGGGCGUAAAGGACGCGUAGGCGGGUUGGAAAGUCAGGUGUGAAAUCCUACAGCUUAACUGUAGAACUGCACUUGAAACUUCUAAUCUAGAGUAUGGGAGGGGGAGAUGGAAUUAGUGGUGUAGAGGUAAAAUCCGUAGAUAUCACUAGGAAUACCUAAAGCGAAGGCGAUCUCCUGGAACAUUACUGACGCUAAGGCGUGAAAGCGUGGGGAGCAAACAGGAUUAGAUACCCGCGUAGUC
rnacentral:rRNA from 1 species